UUAGGCGCACAGCUCAGUAGCACGUGGCUAACCUGCCCUUGGGACGGAAGAACCCCCGGGAAACUGGGGCUAAUUUCCGAUAGGUGAUGAUACCUGGAAUGGUUUUUUGCUCAAAGGACGCUUAGGGCAUGCUUCUAGGCGUUGCCCAAGGAUGGGGCCGCGGCCGAUCAGGUUGUUGGUGAGGUAACGGCUCACCAAGCCUUUAACCGGUGCGGGCCGUGGGAGCGGAAGCCCGGAGAUGGGCACUGAGACAAGGGCCCAGGCCCUACGGGGCGCAGCAGUCGCGAAAAUUUCGCAAUAAGCGAAAGCUUGACGGAGCUAUCCCGAGUGCCAUCCGCUGAGGAUGGCUUUUCCCUAGUAUAGAUAGCUGGGGGAAUAAGGAGAGGGCAAGUCUGGUGUCAGCCGCCGCGGUAAUACCAGCUCUCCGAGUGGUGGGGAUGAUUAUUGGGCCUAAAGCAUCCGUAGCCGGCUGGGCAAGUCCCCUGUUAAACCCAAUGAUUUAAUCGUUGGUCUGCGGGGGAUACUGCUUGGCUAGGGGGCGAGAGAGGCCGUCGGUAUUCCCGGGGUAGGGGUGAAAUCCUAUAAUCCCGGGAGGACCACCAGUGGCGAAGGCUGUCGGCUAGAACGCGCCCGACGGUGAGGGAUGAAAGCUGGGGGAGCGAACCGGAUUAGAUACCCGGGUAGUCCCAGCUGUAAACGAUGCAGGCUAGGUGUUAGGGCGGCCACGUGCCGCUCUAGUGCCGCAGGGAAGCUGUUAAGCCUGCCGCCUGGGGGAACGGCUGGAAGGCUGAAC
rnacentral:rRNA from 1 species